rnacentral:rRNA from 1 species
CAUGGACUGCUCCAGGCGUCGAGUGGCGGACGGGUGAGUAAUACUUAGGAAUCUACCCAGUAGCGGGGGACAACUCGGGGAAACUCGAGCUAAUACCGCAUACGCUCUACGGAGGAAAGCAGGGGAUCUUCGGACCUUGCACUAUUGGAUGAGCCUAAGUCGGAUUAGCUUGUUGGUGAGGUAAAGGCUCACCAAGGCGACGAUCCGUAGCUGGUCUGAGAGGACGAUCGGCCACACUGGGACUGAGACACAGCCCAGACUCCUACGGGAGGCAGCAGUGGGGAAUAUUGGACAAUGGGGGCAACCCUGAUCCAGCAAUGCCGCGUGUGUGAAGAAGGCCUGCGGGUUGUAAAGCACUUUCAGUAGAGAAGAAAAGCCUAGGGUUAAUACCCCUGAGUCUUGACGUUACCUACAGAAGAAGCUCCGGCUAACUCCGUGCCAGCAGCCGCGGUAAUACGGAGGGAGCGAGCGUUAAUCGGAAUUACUGGGCGUAAAGCGCACGUAGGCGGCUUUGUAAGUCGGAUGUGAAAGCCCCGGGCUUAACCUGGGAAUGGCAUUCGAUACUGCAUAGCUAGAGUAUGGUAGAGGGAAGUGGAAUUUCCGGUGUAGCGGUGAAAUGCGUAGAUAUCGGAAGGAACACCGAUGGCGAAGGCAACUUCCUGGGCCAAUACUGACGCUGAGGUGCGAAAGCGUGGGUAGCAAACAGGAUUAGAUACCCUGGUAGUCCACGCCGUAAACGAUGAGAACUAGAUGUCGGGAGGAUCUGCCUUUCGGUGUCGCAGCUAACGCGUUAAGUUCUCCGCCUGGGGAGUACGCCGGCAACGGUAAAACUCAAAGGAAUUGACGGGGACCCGCACAAGCGGUGGAGCAUGUGGUUUAAUUCGAUGCAACGCGAAGAACCUUACCUGCCCUUGACAUUGACAGAACCCUUUAGAGAUAGAGGGGUGCUUCGGCCUGUAAAACAGGUGCUGCAUGGCUGUCGUCAGCUCGUGUCGUGAGAUGUUGGGUUAAGUCCCGCAACGAGCGCAACCCUUGUCCUUAGUUGCCA